rnacentral:rRNA from 1 species
AGUAAUCGCAGAUCAGCAUGCUGUGGUGAAUACGUUCCCGGGCCUUGUACACACCGCCCGUCACACCAUGGGAGUCGGUAACACCCAAAGUUGGUAGUCUAACCGCAAGGAGGACGCCGCCUAAGGUGGGAUUGAUGACUGGGGUGAAGUCGUAACAAGGUAUC